AGCGAACGCUGGCGGCAGGCUUAACACAUGCAAGUCGAGCGCCCCGCAAGGGGUGCGGCAGACGGGAGAGUAACACGUGGGAACAUACCUUUUGGUUCGGAACAACUGAGGGAAACCUCAGCUAAUACCGGAUAAGCCCUUACGGGGAAAGAUUUAUCGCCGAAAGAUUGGCCCGCGUCUGAUUAGCUAGUUGGUGAGGUAACGGCUCACCAAGGCGACGAUCAGUAGCUGGUCUGAGAGGAUGAUCAGCCUCACUGGGACUGAGACACGGCCCAGACUCCUACGGGAGGCAGCAGUGGGGAAUAUUGGACAGUGGGGGCAACCCUGAUCCAGCCAUGCCGCGUGAGUGAUGAAGGCCUUAGGGUUGUAAAGCUCUUUUGCCCGGGAAGAUAAUGACGGUACCGGGAGAAUAAGCCCCGGCUAACUUCGUG
rnacentral:rRNA from 1 species